AGCAUGGAUUGCCAUUAAGGGAUUGCCUUCCCUUAAGGAGAUUUAUGGAUGCAAACAUUGCCAACAGUGCAUUGUGGAGGAGGAAACUGCAGUGUCCAUUUGCACAGGCGUUGCUAGGAGCCCUGGAAAGGAAACUCAGAGACUUGGUCGACCAGUAAUAUCCGUCCCAUCACUCGUGUUAACUAUUUCCUGGAACACAGCAGAUGCCAUUGAGGAAGUGUG